rnacentral:lncRNA from 1 species
CGUGCUUUCCCCAUCACGGAGAGGGGGCGGAGCAUCUUUAAGGAGCUUGGAAGCAAGCUGCGCCUAGCCAGUCUUCGGGGAGGAGCUGCGCUACACACAGGCUUCCAAGGCUUCCUCGGAGAAGCCUGGAGGUAAUGGCUGUCGUAAAUGCUAGUUAUUUUCAAGGAGUUCUCGAAGAUUUGGAAUAAAGCCAAGCCCCAUGAAAGACAGUGAAACCACAGAAGUGAAGAGCGGGAUAGAGACCCUGCUGGACAAGCAGUUGGAGUGAGAAUCAAGACAGCUGGACCACAGGACCAGACCCACCAGGAUCCACCUGACAGUGGGGAAUUUCAGUUUAACUUGGUGAUUCUCUUCCCUUUGAGGGAAAGGCCCCCUGCUAGUCCCGUCACUGGGAAGGGGUGGAGCCUUGUCGGAGCCGCUUCGAAGGGAGCUGUACACGGCCAGUCUUGGGGGAGGGGCAACAUUUCAGGAGGCUGCAGCUGACGAGAAGCUUCAAGAGAUGCACUUGACAUGGGAAAUCUGCAUGUGAUGCCAAGUGAGCCUCAGAAAAACAGUGCAACCAUAGGCAUGCCAAGGAGGGUAGGGCCCUGCCGGACAAGCUGUUGGAGUAAGAAUUAAGACAGCUGGAUCUCAGCACCAGACCCACUAGUAUCUAUGUGACAGUGGGUAAGGCUUUU